AAACCAUGAUGUGGACAUCUUUGGAUCUGCAUCUUAAAAUGCUCUGAAGCUUCGUGAAAGUUUUCUCUUUCUAGUUGCUUAAAUAUAGUGAUCUCCCUCCUCAAUUA
rfam:Gossypium raimondii Chr05_contig_443, whole genome shotgun sequence.